rnacentral:lncRNA from 1 species
GAUCAUUCGAGGGGCCCAGAGAUAUCUCUCUCAAAUAGAGAGGGGCAAAUUCCAUCUUGACUGACCAUGCCUCAUAGCAUGCUUCUUGACAAGCUCGAAAACUACCUUUACAACUACCCAGUUACGGUGUAGCGUUUGAUAGCCCCUAAGUAAGUCGAUCUACAUCUUGAGUACAUGCGACAAUCUCAGGUCUAAGGACAAAGCGUACACGUUGUGUAAAGAGAGAACUAUGUAACUUGCAUUGGUCAGUCCUAGCACAUGUCUCUACACGUGCCCACAUUAUUAGUUUGACAUCUCCAUGUCCAUGACUUGUGAAACAUAGUCAUCAACUAAUACAUGUGCUAGUCUAAUAUUCAUGUGUGUCUUCACAUGAACUCCGACUAGGGACAACUUUUAGAAUAACCAUACAAGUAAGGAGUUUCACGCACAAUUCACAUAAUUGCAAAUCAAUUCAAGUAGCCUUUAAUGGAUAUUCAAGGAAUACAAUAUAAAACAUGGAUACAAUGGAAUAUCAUCAUCUCUACGAUUGCCUCUAGGGCAUAUAUCCAACAGUCUCC